AGCCGGAAUGGAGCUUGGUCCCGGAUGUUAGCGGCGGACGGGUGAGUAACACGUGGGUAACCUGCCUGUAAGACUGGGAUAACUCCGGGAAACCGGAGCUAAUACCGGAUAGUUCCUUGAACCGCAUGGUUCAAGGAUGAAAGACGGUUUCGGCUGUCACUUACAGAUGGACCCGCGGCGCAUUAGCUAGUUGGUGAGGUAACGGCUCACCAAGGCGACGAUGCGUAGCCGACCUGAGAGGGUGAUCGGCCACACUGGGACUGAGACACGGCCCAGACUCCUACGGGAGGCAGCAGUAGGGAAUCUUCCGCAAUGGACGAAAGUCUGACGGAGCAACGCCGCGUGAGUGAUGAAGGUUUUCGGAUCGUAAAGCUCUGUUGUUAGGGAAGAACAAGUGCAAGAGUAACUGCUUGCACCUUGACGGUACCUAACCAGAAAGCCACGGCUAACUACGUGCCAGCAGCCGCGGUAAUACGUAGGUGGCAAGCGUUGUCCGGAAUUAUUGGGCGUAAAGGGCUCGCAGGCGGUUUCUUAAGUCUGAUGUGAAAGCCCCCGGCUCAACCGGGGAGGGUCAUUGGAAACUGGGAAACUUGAGUGCAGAAGAGGAGAGUGGAAUUCCACGUGUAGCGGUGAAAUGCGUAGAGAUGUGGAGGAACACCAGUGGCGAAGGCGACUCUCUGGUCUGUAACUGACGCUGAGGAGCGAAAGCGUGGGGAGCGAACAGGAUUAGAUACCCUGGUAGUCCACGCCGUAAACGAUGAGUGCUAAGUGUUAGGGGGUUUCCGCCCCUUAGUGCUGCAGCUAACGCAUUAAGCACUCCGCCUGGGGAGUACGGUCGCAAGACUGAAACUCAAGGAAUUGACGGGGGCCCGCACAAGCGGUGGGAGCAUGUGGUUUAAUUCGAAGCAACGCGAAGAACCUUACCAGGUCUUGACAUCCUCUGACACCCUAGAGAUAGGGCUUUCCCUUCGGGGACAGAGUGACAGGUGGUGCAUGCUUGUCGUCAGCUCGUGUCGUGAGAUUGUUGGGGUAAGGUCCCGCAACGAGCGCACCUUGAAUCUUAGUGGCAGCAUCAGUGGGCACUCUAGGUGACUGCCGUGACCAUCGGAAGGAAGUGGGGAUGACGUCAAUCAUCAUGCCCUUUGACCUGGCUACACGUCUAAUGGACGGAUCAGUGGACUGCACGA
rnacentral:rRNA from 2 species